UCCUCGCGUCCUUCGGGCUCCGGCGGCUGCGGCGCGCUCAUUCCCGGAGAUGAAUGCGAGGCGACGUCGGAAACCAGUCCACCCAAAUGAGCUGUGAUAUCCGUUUGAUAGGAUGGUUAUCGUAUAUUUAUAAGGUGUGUUUUCUGCAAUCAGAACCAACAAGGUGUUGAGCGAUCAGUCAUCAACGAGCUUCUUCAAAAAGAAAGAGGGAAACGCGCCAGCCUUGUGUGGCAAGGGGGAAAAAUGCUCCCUACACUCUUCAGUUUCAUGUGUGCAAUCAAACCAGCAUGAGGAGACCAGAACGCUGCACAGAUCCACAAUGCUUCGGCAGCUCCCUA